rnacentral:lncRNA from 1 species
GCCAAACCAAGGCCAGGUUACUUAGCUAACCGAGAGAAUCAUCGCAUGGUACCGAAUGUACACCAAAAUCCAAAAUGGCUACACGCGACGAAACCAUGAAUAUGGAUGAGGAUAUGAAUAUUGACGUCGACGAUGUGCAAACACAAAGUAGCGAGGUAAGUAAAAUUAGAAAUAGCAAUACGCUGCAUAAAUUUUUAUUUUAUUUACCUUUUAUAUGUCUGUAUUUAUAUUACGUUAAUAAGGAGUGUGGCAAAUUUACUAAAUAGCGAAUGAGCGAAUGCGAAUAUAUUAUAAAUUAUAAUGAACUGUCUGUGCCAUUAACAAGCUUUCUUUCGUAGGGCCGCAACUACCGACGUAGUUUUGAAAUUUACCAGUGUAUUAACUUAUUCAAAAAAUUUGAUGUUGAUUGUUGGGCUGUUGAAGUUCUGCUUGUGACUUCACUCACAAUUCACAAACUACUAAAUUAAAAUUGUAGGACAAAUUCUGGACAAAUACUUUAUAGAAAAUGGACAAUACAUGUCUGACACUGGAUCCCAAUAUGUAAAUGUUAUUUGUCUGAUACAAUCAGCGGCGUAGCCAAGACGUUAUUUCAUGGGGCGGGGAGGGGGGGUGAAGCAUGCCAAAGCUGAUGACAAAAACCUUUCCCCAGACAUGUCAGUGGUAAGGAAGUAAUAUUUUGUUUAUAAUUUAGUAAGAACAAAUCAUUGUUCCUACCACUGUUUAUGCUAUAGCAAAUAUCUGGGUGCCAGCUUCUGUUAGGAACUAUUUGCAGGGCAUGUGAAAUUGAUAACCUGAUCAUAUAAAACAAUAUGAAAAUUAUUUGAGUUGUUCCUCCCCACCCCCACCCCCAGAAAAAAAAUUUAGGUGCCCUUUUUCAUUCGAAAAGUGCCCCUCAAAGCCUGGGCCCCCUAACUUUUAGAUGUGUUUUACGCCCCUGGGCAUGUGUGGAAAGGACUGGUGGAUUAGUUUCAAAUUCGUUUGGGUCGUUCCAGAAAAGAUCCAUACUCCCCCCACGGAGGAAAUUUCUGCCGUCCGGAGGGGGAGGGGAGAAAAAAUUGUUUUUGAUAAUAGUAAAUGUAUUAGGACAUUCGAAGGGGGUAGGGGGAUUAAGUUCCUAUUUCCUCCGUGGGGGUGGCAUAGAUGUUUUCUGGAAUGACCCUUUGAACAAUGAUAUUGUCUGUAAGCCACAUUGUAACAUUUUGGUGUGUAAAUAAAUCUGAUCAAAAACUUGGAAAGUAAUUAUUCUGUUACUAAUAAAGUGUAUGUUCGCACCCAUAUUUUUUGCAUGUUUGCAAUUUUAAUUAAUUGCCAAUCAAAUUUUUAUACUAAUUGUGACUAAGAAACAGAUUCACUGUUUAAAAUUACAACUGUUAAAAUGCUAAAAAUGUGGGUGAGGUGAUCAAGGUGACGAAGCUCUAGGAAGAUAUAUAUUCUGUGACUGGUUGAUUAUGACAAUGACAAAAGACGUAAUUGGCUUACAUAAACAAAAGGAAUAUUGUUCUUGCUUUGUUUGUCAUUGUCAUAAUCAACCAAUCACAGAACAUCUUCCUACAUUACUGCAUAAAAGUGGAAUACAAGCGUGAAAGGCUGCCGGGAAUGACUAAAACAAUUAUUAAUUUUCUAGCUGUAUAAUUAACAAAAUAGCUGUAUAACCAAAUUUAUAAAGAAGCUAAUUUAUAAAAAAGCUAAUUUAAUAUAAAAAAGCUGUAUAACCAAAAUUAAUCGAUUUUAUGUCGUUCAUGAGCCGAACGAAAAUUUUUGAAAAUAUGGAGUCUCUAUAACUUCGGAUAUGGCCUUUACAGAGUCUUUAAUACUGCGAAAAGGGCACUUUCUUUCCAGCAAAAGAGGGCAUUCAGUCAAGAAAUUCUUUUUUCGUUCUUUAUAUGGCCACUUUAGCCCAGAAAAACGGCACUUUUCACUUUCCGCGGCCCCUGCACGAUACGAAUAUUCACGCCGUCGCACACUUCAGUUGUUAAUGCACAAAUAUCUCUAUAACGUUUUUGUUUGAUUAUGGACUCCAGGCCUUGUAUCUAUAAAAACUAGAGAAAAAUAAAAAGGCCUAAUAUGUGAACCAUAUCACCUAGAAGAUGGAAUGAUUGAAAUAACCUGCCGCAUCUAAGGCCAAAUAAAAAAAAUACUUGGUUAGCGUCACACUCUCACAAAUGUUCAGAGGCGGGAGGGCGUUUUUUAAAAUUUUUACUCGUUUUUUAACAGUAUUUUUGGGGGAGAUGGGGUCAAUUUUUCCGCCAUAUCGGUGAUAUUUUUGUGCUGAUAGUACCCAAGCCCAUGCGCUACUAUCGAUCAGUAUAUAGCGCGAAAAAAUGAGAAUAAAUUCAAAUAUUAAACUGUUUUAAACUGUAAAGCGAAGAGAUUUACAUAACAAAAAAAAUGCGGGCGUUGACGCUAACCAAGUAUUUUUUUUCAUUUGGCCUAAUACUAUUUGUGCGGGGUUGGCGGGGGAGGGGGGGGAGGAGGAUGAUUCUCGUAAACGUGGUAGAAACAAAACUUUCUAAUUGUAUACAAUUUGAGUAAUAUUAUUAAUUAAUAAUAUUUUAUAAUAAUUAUUUUUAGUCUCUAAGAAACACGCUUUAACAAUCCGUACGGUAACUAUUGCUGAGCUGGAUCGAAAUGUAAGGUCUGCAAAGUUUGUGUUGAGAAAACUAUAUGCUACCAGCCAAACCGUCUAUCCGCUGACCGUUCCGUCCGCAGAAACCUCUCGCCAAAUCCUACUGACACAUGGCACUCUCGAAGCUCUACAAACGGUUAUAUCUAGGUUGCAGGGCCGUAACUAGACACGAUGAUUCGGG